UACGGGGGGGGCAAGCGUUGUUCGGAAUUACUGGGCGUAAAGGGCUCGUAGGUGGCCAACUAAGUCAGACGUGAAAUCCCUCGGCUUAACCGGGGAACUGCGUCUGAUACUGGAUGGCUUGAGUUCGGGAGAGGGAUGCGGAAUUCCAGGUGUAGCGGUGAAAUGCGUAGAUAUCUGGAGGAACACCGGUGGCGAAGGCGGCAUCCUGGACCGACACUGACACUGAGGAGCGAAAGCCAGGGGAGCAAACAGG
rnacentral:rRNA from 1 species